CCACGGAGCCGCGGAGCCAGGAGCCGCGGAGCGCGAGAGCAGCGCCUCUGGAGGCGGGCGGCGGUUCGGCGUGCGGCGGCUCGGCGUGCGGCCGCGUGUGCGAGCCGGCCGGGGCGGACGGUUUGGCCUGGGCUAAAACGUCUACAGACCCUAGGAUUGCUGUGGGUCAGCAGUCCCCACUGGAGAAAAAAAUCUUGAAUCUAGGUGGCGUGCACACGACAGCAGCAAGACAGCUGAUAACUCACAGAUACCGGGAGGAGUAUGAGACGCUGCGUAGGGAGCAAGCUCUUUCCCUUGACUACUGGCUGGCCAAAGCAGAGUCUUACUGUAAUAAAAGAAUAAUGGACAUGGUGAAAGAACAAGAGACAGGCCACGAAAGCGAGAAGAAAUUGGAGGGGAAAACGACCCACAGGCUAGAGAGACAAAGGCGGUAUUACUUGGUUCCGGAGAGAGAGGUGAAACACAUAGAAAGGCAUGUUCAGAGAGGAGGUCAGGUCAGAGAGUCAAAGAACAAAAAAUGUAGACAAUUACCACGGCCCCCUAGUGAAACAACAUUCCCAAAAAUUGUGCCGGAAGAGCGUGGUGUUCUGAGCGCCCAGAGAAGAAAGCGCAUAAGCGAGAGGGAACAGAUGCAAAUUAAAGGUCACCAGGAACGCAUGGUUCGCGGGAGAGAACUCAUGGAGCAAAGAGUCAAGGAGAGAGUCAUGAGAAAAAGCCAGAGCCAGCCGCCGACCCGUGAGAGGCGUGGGAGAGCAAAGAGGGAGAUGAAAGAGUUUGAGAGCGUUAUUGCGUAUCCCCUUUUCCAGCCGUGCAGGAGAAGUCGGAUUAAAGUGAAUAUCCUUAUGGAAAAGAAUAGAGAAGAAGUGAAUACUAUUAUAAAACCACAUCAAAGGAAAUUCCUAACUAUGCCACCCUUUCUUAGAAGCCAAAUAGGAAAAAUAAAAGACUAGUAAAGUUUCAGUGCUUUUAUAAUGA